rnacentral:lncRNA from 1 species
UUGCUCCUUUGUUUUUUUUUUUGCCAUUUUCAUUUCACUUUUUUUUGGCUUUUGUUUUUUAGAUAAUGGUGGAUAAUAAGAAAAUUCGACAUGGUUAUUGUUGAAUUGAAUGAUGAUGAUAAUGAAGUUUGAACAUGAUAUUGUAAUGGAUGGAUGAAAAUGAAACAUUGUUCAUGUUAGAUGAUAAUGAUGUAAGUGUAUGAAUGAAUGGAAACUCGAGUUUGAUUUCAUUAGCUAAGGAUGAC